rnacentral:tmRNA from 1 species
GGGGGCGUUCCGGAUUCGACGCCGGUAGUGAUCCCUGAGGUGCAUGCCGAGAGCGUAGCGUAUCUCGUAAAUCCAACGUUACUUUUAAAAUAGUCGCAAACGACGAAACCUAUGCUCAGGAAGGUGCACUCGCAGCAUAAACCCUGCGGGUAAUCUUUCUACCCUGAAGCGAUGUGCCUGUUCAUCGUGGAUGGGCGUGAGCCAAAGCUGACAGGAUCGCGAAUGACGGCGUCUUCACGUCAUUCGUUAAAACUCCGGAGACUCGCUGUAUCGGAUCCUGAUCGUCGGAGCCGAUGCGGCUAAACCAAAAGACGGAACUAAGCAUGUAGAUCCGAAGGGCUAGCACCGGCGGACGCGGGUUCAACUCCCGCCGCCUCCACCA